GAGUUUGAUCCUGGCUCAGAUUGAACGCUGGCGGCAGGCUUAACACAUGCAAGUCGAGCGGUAACAGAUCUAGCUUGCUAGAUGCUGACGAGCGGCGGACGGGUGAGUAACGCGUAGGAACCUGCCCAGUAGUGGGGGAUAGCCCGGUGAAAACCGGAUUAAUACCGCAUACGCUCUACGGAGGAAAGGGGGCUUCGGCUCUCGCUAUUGGAUGGGCCUGCGUGAGAUUAGCUAGUUGGUGAGGUAAUGGCUCACCAAGGCGACGAUCUCUAGCUGGUCUGAGAGGAUGAUCAGCCACACUGGGACUGAGACACGGCCCAGACUCCUACGGGAGGCAGCAGUGGGGAAUAUUGCACAAUGGGCGCAAGCCUGAUGCAGCCAUGCCGCGUGUGUGAAGAAGGCUUUCGGGUUGUAAAGCACUUUCAGUUGUGAGGAAAAGUUAGUCGUUAAUACCGGCUAGCCUUGACGUUAGCAACAGAAGAAGCACCGGCUAACUCAGUGCCAGCAGCCGCGGUAAUACUGAGGGUGCAAGCGUUAAUCGGAAUUACUGGGCGUAAAGCGCGCGUAAGCGGCUUGU
rnacentral:rRNA from 1 species